rnacentral:rRNA from 1 species
GAUCCUGGCUCAGAUUGAACGCUGGCGGCAUGCUUUACACAUGCAAGUCGAACGGCAGCACAGGGAGCUUGCUCCCGGGUGGCGAGUGGCGCACGGGUGAGUAAUACAUCGGAACGUGUCCUAUUGUGGGGGAUAACUGCUCGAAAGGGUGGCUAAUACCGCAUGAGACCUGGAGGGUAGAAAGGCGGGGGAUCGCAAGACCUCGCGCAAUUGGAGCCGGGCCGAUCGCCCGAUUAG